ACAGGGCCUCGAGGAGAUGACACACCGCAAAGUUCCAUUUGUGAGGAGUACCAGGACCCUGCCAGGAGGCUGGACAGACAGCGGGUUCAGUGAAUUCGACUCAGGUCGUCAGAUUUGGUGACAAGUGUCUUUACCUGCCAAGCCCUCUCACUGGCCCUGGUGUGUGACCCUGGUGUGUGGCCCUGGUGUGUCGUCUUUCAGCAAGUGGACUGUAGCUCAGUAAAGUUGCUAUGUGCAAGCAAAUUCCUUCACAGGGCUUCCCACAGUCAUUAAAGCCAAAAAUACUAAACCAAACCAAACCCCUUCCCAUGACAGUCUCCAGAAGACUCCAUUACUGAAUAAAAGAUAUUUUGAUUUUU